CUACUGAAUCACAAACUUUUUACUAGUCCAGUAAUCCUGGUGAUAUUCACACAUGUGAGAGUCACAAAUCUUGUCUGGUGCUUCCCACAGGUUCACAUACACCACCAGUCUGCAUUUCAAACAAGCUCCAGGACCUAGGAUCACACUUGGAUAAACAAAGUGAAGUCCUCCUGGGGGAAAAAGUUUCAGUGGUGCAAAAAGUCACAGAAUCCAGAGAAGACUUAUCUUUAAAAGAGACUCAGGGAAGAAGCAGGCAGACUCUGUGCAAGCAGGAAGAAGUUGACAGCUGAGGAGGCUCCCACGCCUGGCUCUGGGGACUUUCUAGAGUUCUCGGGGGACACAACAUCUUUGAUGGUAUGUGGUGCGGAGGAUCCAUCCCAGGCCGAAAGCAUGCCAGGCAAGUGCGCUACCACUGGAGCCACAUCCCCAGCCCUGUAUAUUUACUUUUUGGUGAGGUCAUAUUUACUUGUCUUGAAUUUUUCAGAUAUUAAUUAUACAGUUUUGAAAAAUAAAAUGAUAAAAACCUUCACUGUUUUUAAAAAACAUAAGAUUCACAUCAUCCCAAUAAAACGAUAUGCUCUUACAUGCAAAUUUUAUUUCCAGAAAGAUGUUACUGUAAUGGGUAUUUAACCAUAAUUUUAUUUUGCUUGUCAUCAUGCAAUAUAAUUUUAAAUACAGCUGAUUAACUAUACAGUAUCUGUGAGAGUCAGUAAGCAUGUGUACUUCAGCAAUGUGUUCUUUUGUAUUGAUGACUGUUUUUGUAUUUUAUGGAUGCUCUACAAAUUGUUUAUAUCAACAUUCAAGAACUUUUGCGUCAUUUCUUAUUUUGAACCAUUAGGACUACUGGGGGUCAUCAAUAUUCUUUAAUAAAAAACUAUUCCACUCA